GACGAACGCUGGCGGCGUGCUUAACACAUGCAAGUCGAACGGAAAGGCCCUGCUUUUGUGGGGUGCUCGAGUGGCGAACGGGUGAGUAACACGUGAGUAACCUGCCCUUGACUUUGGGAUAACUUCAGGAAACUGGGGCUAAUACCGGAUAGGAGCUCCUGCUGCAUGGUGGGGGUUGGAAAGUUUCGGCGGUUGGGGAUGGACUCGCGGCUUAUCAGCUUGUUGGUGGGGUAGUGGCUUACCAUGGCUUUGACGGGUAGCCGGCCUGAGAGGGUGACCGGCCACAUUGGGACUGAGAUACGGCCCAGACGCCUACGGGAGGCAGCAGUGGGGAGUAUUGCACAAUGGGCGGCAGCCUGAUGCAGCGACGCCGCGUGCGGGAUGACGGCCUUCGGGUUGUAAACCGCUUUCGCCUGUGACGAAGCGUGAGUGACGGUAAUGGGUAAAGAAGCACCGGCUAACUACGUG
rnacentral:rRNA from 1 species